rnacentral:rRNA from 1 species
UACGUAGGGGCCGAGCGUUGUCCGGAGUUAUUGGGCGUAAAGCGCGCGCAGGCGGCUUCGCGCGCCCGACGUGAAAGCCCCCGGCUUAACCGGGGAGAGUCGUUGGGGACGGCGGAGCUUGAGGGCGGGAGAGGUCGGUGGAAUUCCCGGUGUAGUGGUGAAAUGCGUAGAGAUCGGGAGGAACACCUGUGGCGAAGGCGGCCGACUGGGCCGACCCUGACGCUGAGGCGCGAAGGCGUGGGGAGCGAACGGGG